UACGUAGGUGGCAAGCGUUGUCCGGAUUUACUGGGCGUAAAGAGCGCGCAGGCGGUCGGAUCAGUCGAAUGUGAAAGCCCCCGGCUCAACUGGGGAGGGUCAUUCGAUACUGUUCGACUCGAAGGCAGGAGAGGGAAGCGGAAUUCCCGGUGUAGUGGUGAAAUGCGUAGAUAUCGGGAGGAACACCAGUAGCGAAGGCGGCUCGCUGGGCCGUUCCUGACGCUGAGACGCGAAAGCUAGGGGAGCGAACAGG
rnacentral:rRNA from 1 species